UAGGGUUGAGGGGUUGUGGGUUCAGGCGUAUGGCGGCCGUUUGAGGGCACCGACGUUCAGGUGGAGUAUGUCUUGGGGGACCCUUUGCUAAGACUUUUCCUCCAGAGGGAGGCGGACAGCCCAACUUUCUCUGUCGAGUUCAAGGUAAUCACGGCAAAACACAGGGUUCAGGGUUUGAGGCUUACAACCUGGGACUUUGGAUCUUUGGAUUUGAUCAGACAAAUCAGAACUCGAGCGGACAAGGGGAAUCCGACUGUUUAGUUAAAACAAAGCAUUGCGAUGGCCGCAAACGGUGCUGACGCAAUGUGGUUUCUGCCCAGUGCACUGAAUGCCAAUGUGAUGAAAUUCAAUCAAGCGCGGGUUAACGCCGGACUUAACUAUGAGGGUAGCCAAAUGCCUCGUCAAGCAGUGAGUGGCGUGCAUGAAUGGAUUAACAAGAUUCCCACUGUUCGUAUCUGCUGCCUAGCGAAAGCACAGCCAAGGGCUUGG
rnacentral:ncRNA from 1 species